GGGUGUAGAAUAAGUGGGAGCUUCGGCCACUUUGAAAUACCACUACCUUUAUCGUUUUUUUACUUAUUCAAUGAGGCGGAGCUGGGAUUAAUAGUCCCACCUUUUGGCUUCAAGGUCUUUUACAGGCCGAUCCGGGUUGA
rnacentral:rRNA from 1 species